ACAAUGCCUAUACAGGCAAAGGCCAAAAAGUGCUACAUCUCUUCAAUCAUCUCUUCUUGUUUUGAAAGAACGAAUUCAGCAUCUGCAUCGAGUUCUUCAUUCUGUAAUUGCUGGGCAAGUUUUGCAGAUUUUCUCAUGUUGAUUGGGCAUUGCUUUGCAUAGUGGCAUUUCUUCUUACAAAUGAAAUAGCGAGGGGAUUUGUCAUGUCCCCGGCCAGCCAAAUCCCCUCUUUCCCUCUUCUAUUGCGGCCCUAAUCUACCGCCGUGAAGCCUUGCUGCACAAGAGCCUUGCACAAAUGAAGCCUUGCGCCCUACUGUUUGUGAACUGAAUCUGUCGUCGUGAAGGUAAGAAGCCCAAAAAUCCUGCUGCAUGAGAAGCCUUGUGCCCAACCAAAUCCCCUUUCCCUCUUCUAAUCUUCCGCUGUGAAGCCUUGCGGCACAAUAGCCAUGCACAAAUGAAGCCUUCCGCCCUGCUGUUUGUGAAUUGAAUCUGCCGCCGUGAAGCCAAGAAGCCCAAAAACCUUGCGGCACGAGAAGCCUUGCGCCCUUGUUGCUGUGAAGCUGUUCGUGAAUCUGCCGCCGUGAAGCCCUUUUAGCCGCGAGUCUCUCUCUCUCUCUCUCUCUCUCUCUCAUAAACGCAAUAAACCGAGACUGAUGUCGCACUAGAAGGGUCGCGCGUUCUGUGCAGGACGACCAACAAGAGCAAGAGGCUUGGUAUAGAUCUAUCAAGUGUCUGGGCGUAUGAUAGCUUAUGGGGGUCAUUUCUCUUCUGGGAGUUAUUCCUUUUCUGAGGCAUUGCAAUCUCACAUUGAUGUCAAUGAUUAUUUCGACCACGGCUACGACCAUGUCCACGACCAUGCCUAUGGCCUCCUCCUCAAUCACAAGAUGCAUUCAUAUUCACUUCAGGGAAUGGGGUCGAACCAAUUGGACGAAUUUGGCGAUUUUUCACCAAAAGUUCGUUAUUUUGCUCAGCAACAAGAAGACAUGAUAUAUGUUCAGAAAAUUUAGUAAAUUUCCUUUCCCUAUAUUGUUAUUGCAUGAGCACAUUAGUGGGAUGAAAAGUAAUAAAAGUUUUUUCUAGCA